rnacentral:lncRNA from 1 species
UAGUGACUCCACUCAGCAACGCAGAAUGGCUGCGGGAAAUGUGUAUUCAGAUAAGCCCAAAGAAGUCUGCCCAGGGUGAAACAAGUACCUUUGAAGUUUAAAUCAGAAAGGAAGGAGAGGCUGUUUCUACAGGUGUCAGAGAAAAAUCGAUACUGAGCCAUGGAUUAUUGAAUCCCGUAGAACCAUGGAGGCUUGGCAGUGAAAUUCUUCCAAAGGCAGACGGUGUUCCUAGGUUUGGAAACAUAAAUCCCAGGGGAAGUGAGCUGAAGAACAUUUUAUGCAUCACUCAUCCUAUUAUGAGCCCUAUGCUGCUCCAUCUCUACAAGAUUGGCUGAAGCAAUAGUAACUGCAAAAAAUUGUUUAUGAUUUGCAUUCUAACUUUCCAUCAUUUGGUUAAUACCCUGACUCUGAUUACCCAAGAAAACAAUGUUCUAAAAGAAAGACUAUUAGAGGGUUGCUGCUGCAUUAUUAGUGAAUAACGUGGAAAGUGCAACAUUCUAGAUGUCCCAUCAUAAGAGGUAAGGUUUUAUCAUGUCUCAUUAAGUUGAGAUAAAAGUUAAUAUUAUUUAUUAUGAUCCCAGCCUAAGGAAAAUUUUGCAUUUCAGUUUGACACAGAAA